rnacentral:rRNA from 1 species
GAUGAACGCUGGCGGCGUGCCUAACACAUGCAAGUCGAACGGAGAUUACGGACGGAAGUUUUCGGAUGGAAGCCUGUAAUUCUUAGUGGCGGACGGGUGAGUAACGCGUGGGCAACCUGCCCUAUACAGGGGGAUAGCAGCUGGAAACGGCUGGUAAGACCGCAUAAGUCGGUUAAAUCGCAUGAUUUGAUCGGGAAAUGAGCAAUCAGGUAUAGGAUGGGCCCGCGUCCGAUUAGCCAGUUGGCAGGGUAAAAGCCUACCGAAGCGACGAUCGGUAGCCGGACUGAGAGGUCGGACGGCCACAUUGGGACUGAGACACGGCCCAAACUCCUACGGGAGGCAGCAGUGGGGGAUAUUGCACAAUGGAGGAAACUCUGAUGCAGCGACGCCGCGUGAGUGAAGAAGUAUUUCGGUAUGUAAAGCUCUAUCAGCAGGGAAGAUGAUGACGGUACCUGACUAAGAAGCCCCGGCUAACUACGUG